rnacentral:lncRNA from 1 species
ACAUGCACUGCACACCUAUCAUGUACCAGGAGCAGAGUGUGGUGAUUCAGAGUGUAAUCCUGGAGGCAAAACAACUUGGGAUGGAAUCCAUUCCCACUACAUGUUAGCUCUGUGACCUUGGAGAUGGACUGUGGGAGCUAAGGACAGAAUGAUGCGUUGAUUCAUCCAUCUACCCAUCCAUUCCACAAGUACGAAGCUCCUGCUGGAUGCUGAGCACUGGGUUAGGCACCAGGAACCCAAAGAAGAAUUACGUUGGAUUGAUGAAGAGGAUUUGGGAAGCAGGCAGACCACAUCAGAAAUGGCUCAAGAUUCUUCAUGCUGAUAAGACUCCAGGAAACUCACAUCCAGACCCGCUGCAGGAAAUGGAGGUGGACAUUACAGAUGCUUUGGUAGGCCUUUUCAAAGCUGUAGGAGGUCUGGAAGGGGUGAGGCACUGCUGUGACUGGGGAAAGAAGCCUGGAACAGUUCAGGACUUUCCCUCAAAUGGAGGUCUAGAGUUGGAAAAUUCCAAGCCCUCUGUGACACAGAGACUCCACUUAGAACAGCCAGCAUUGUUCUGAGAGC